UACGUAUUGGGCAAGCGUUGUCCGGAUUUAUUGGGCGUAAAGCGCGUGUAGGCGGUUUGGUAGGUCAGCUGUGAAAACUCGAGGCUCAACCUCGAGACGCCGGUGGAAACCAUCAGACUAGAGUCCGGAAGAGGAGAGUGGAAUUCCUGGUGUAGCGGUGAAAUGCGCAGAUAUCAGGAAGAACACCCGUGGCGAAGGCGGCUCACUGGCCCGGUACUGACGCUGAGGCGCGAAAGCUAGGGGAGCAAACAGG
rnacentral:rRNA from 1 species